ensembl:snRNA U4 U4 spliceosomal RNA
AGCUUUGCACAGGGGGAGUAUGGUAGCCAGUGAGGUUUAUCCCGGGUGCGAUUAUUGCUAAUUGAUAACGUUUCCCAAUACCCCACCAUGACAACUUGAAACAUAGUCGGUAUUGGCAAUUUUUGACAGUCUCUAGUGA